ensembl:lncRNA
GGAGGACAGGGAGGAGUCAAGGAUGACUUCCAGUGGUCUGACUGUGCCUUCCACUGGGUCGCUGGGGAUGCUCUUCGCUGAGUCAGAGAACAGGAGGAGGAACAGCUUUGCAUCAGGCCUGCGGGCAGAGAGGAAACAGCAAUAAAUUGAAUGCAACUGAUGUCUCUUCAAAGAUUUGCUGUCUACCAAGACUUUCAAGCAUCGAAAAUAUCUUUAUCUUUUCCUCUCAGCAUUGAUGGGGAGGCCAUUUAGGAGAGAGUGAAAUAACCUGCAAAGAGAAAGAAAUGACACCUAUAAAAAUAAUAUAGGAAGCAAUAAAACAACACUGCAAACAGUUUGGCAGGUGGAGAGGAAAGAAUCACCUUCAUAAAUCCAUCAUUCUAGAGUGAGCCUUGUGUUUGUGUGGCUGUGCUUAUGCACGGGAAUGGACACAGCUGCAAUCACCCUCCACAUACCCACACUCUGUAACCUACUUUCUCCACCUAACAUGAUGUCAUGAGCAUUUUUCUAUGUUGCUACAUAGUCUUUAUAAUUACUUAAAGUGACUGUAAAAUAUUCCAUUCACUGCUAUUGUUGAUAUUUAGAUUGCUUGUAUGAUUUUUCCUUUGUUCAUUUUUAUGAAUUGACGAAUAGUAGGUAUUUCACUCAGUGCCUUGAAAAACAUAUAUAUCUAGUAGGUGCUUUAUUUCAUUCCCAUCUCUCUCCUUCAUAUAUAUCUUUGUAUCUGGGCUUUUCCUUAGGAUAAAUUUCUUAGGAUAAAUAUUGAGUUCAAGCGUUUAAACAAUUGUAUGACUUUUUACAUGGUAUUUCACACACGUUGCUUUAUUAUGAUGAUAAUAACAAUGAUGAUAAUAUGAAUAACUCCACAAUUACACAUAGUAUUUCACAAAAUCCUCCCAACAUCUCUGAGGGUAGUCAUUACCCCAUUUUAGAUGAGAAGCAGAUGUCCACAAGUUUAAGUAAUUUGUCCAGCGGCUAUGUCUGUUCUGUUUUCGUCUUUCUCCCCAGGGUUAAGUACAAUGUCUGGCUCAUAGAAUGACUGCAGUAAAUGUUUCCUGAAUGAAGUCCACAAGUCGGGGUGUCAUGAUUCAAACCCAGAUCUGUUUCAGUUCAAAGCCUGUGCUCUUCCCCUUAAACCUUGCCAACUGGCUUUUGACGUUCAUUUGGGUGGGGGUAGAAAUGCAGGCGUUGCCAUACUGUUUAAUUAAGGACUCAGGCCUAGUGAAGCACUUCAGGUUUAGGGCAAACAUGCAAGAGCUAAUGAUGUGCGGUGGGUGGGAGUUUGGGACCCUAAUUAUCGUUACCCUAGAACUGUACCUGCUUGCCAUUUUCCUGAGAUCGCCCAUCCAGACCUAUUAUAUAAUUCUAAGAACAAUGCCAUUGGAGAGUGGUCCUAAGUGCUUGGUGGCCACAUUGAAUUCAGAGGGUUUGCUGUUGUCUUCUGGCUGUGUGACCUGAUUGUGCAUUUACAGAAAUGCUGUCCUCAUUGGAAUCAGUCUCUAAAACCCAACUGCAUGAGCUGAGGAGGUAGAGUAGCCCCCUGGACUAAACUUCCUUUGGCUCUAUCCUUCCUAUUUUCAGAGGAUGCUGAAAAGUGACCCAUCAUCCCAAAGAGCACCAGCCCCAAGAG